GUCUAGCCAGGACUGCUAUCCCCUGCUGCGGUCAGUGUGCGGGUGCGAAAGGAAGCGUGAGCCACUUGUAGUCCUGUGGCUUGCCAUUGAGAUCUACAGGCAACCCUCAAGCUCAGGUCGUUGCCUUGUUCCCGCAAGGAAACAGAAGUCUCUGCACUCAGGGUCAGAGAAGGAGUCCUGGCCAGGCCAGGCGUCUAUGUCAUGUUCAGCUUGGGAGGUGGAAUGCCAGGGAAGGAAUGCCAGCAGCAUCCUGGGGCCAUCGGUAUAAUCCCUGAUACCCAUUGAAGUGAGGACGGUGUGGCAAGGUGAGGCCAGGCGAAGGAGUCUCGGAAGGGUGUUGGCGUGCAUUCCAUGAGGAUCCUGCUUUAACCCUUGUUGUGGUGGUGGAGUGCCAGGGAACAAACACCUGCAGCAGCAUGGGGCCCUCUGUAUAGUCCAUGAUACCUGGCGAAGUGAGGAGAGUGCGGCAAGGUGAGGCAAGUCAAGGCAAAAGAGUCUCAGAGUGGUUUUGGUGUGAAGUCCUUGAGGAUCCUCGUAGGAACCUUGUGGUGGGGCACCCCAGAUCUGAUGCCAUGAUCCUUAGCUCCAUUUGCAGCCCCGUGGGUCGCCUCUGGCCGCUCCUGACUGCUGACAUGAUUGAGAUCGGUGGCUGCCCCGCGGUGGAGCCUGCGACUUUGAACGUGCAGCCUUUGAGCAGGUGGAAUGCCAGGGAAGGAAUGCCAGCAGCAUCCUGGGGCCAUCGGUAUAAUCCCUGAUACCCGUUGAAGUGAGGACCGUGUGGCAAGGUGAGGCCAGGCGAAGGAGUCUCGGAGGGGUGUUGGCGUGCAUUCCAUGAGGAUCCUGCUUUAACCCUUGUUGCAGUGGUGGAGUGCCAGGGAACAAACACCUGCAGCAGCAUGGGGCCCUCUGUAUAGUCCAUGAUACCUGGCGAAGUGAGGAGAGUGCGGCAAGGUGAGGCAAGUCAAGGCAAAAGAGUCUCAGAGUGGUUUUGGUGUGAAGUCCUUGAGGAUCCUCGUAGGAACCUUGUGGUGGGGCACCCCAGAUCUGAUGCCAUGAUCCUUAGCUCCAUUUGCAGCCCCGUGGGUCGCCUCUGGCCGCUCCUGACUGCUGACAUGAUUGAGAUCGGUGGCUGCCCCGCGGUGGAGCCUGCGACUUUGAACGUGCAGCCUUUGAGCAGGUGGAAUGCCAGGGAAGGAAUGCCAGCAGCAGCCUGGGGCCAUCGGUAUAAUCCCUGAUACCCGUUGAAGUGAGGACGACGUGGCAAGGCGAGGCCAGGCGAAGGAGUCUCGGAGGGGUGUUGGCGUGCAUUCCAUGAGGAUCCUGCUUUAACCCUUGUUGUGGUGGUGGAGUGCCAGGGAACAAACACCUGCAGCAGCAUGGGGCCCUCUGUAUAGUCCAUGAUACCUGGCGAAGUGAGGACAGUGCGGCAAUGUCAGGCAAGUUGAGGCAAAAGAGUCUCAGAGUGGUUUUGGUGUGAAGUCCUUGAGGAUCCUCGUAGGAACCUUGUGGUGGUGGAAUGCCAGGGAAGGAAUGCCAGCAGCAGCCUGGGGCCAUCCGUAUAAUCCCUGACACCCCUUGAAGUGAGGACGGUGUGGCAAGGCGAGGCCAGGCGAAGGAGUCUCGGAAGGGUGUUGGCGUGAAGUCCUUGAGCUUUCUGGUGGAAACCUUGUGGCAGUAAGCAGAACUUCUUUGCCGAAACCUAGAUGUUUCGCCAUGGGGACUUGUGCACCUGGACUACACUCUCACCUCCUGGGCUUUUCCCAUGGCACCCGAGCUCCAAUGCCCUGCGACGUGACUGCACUUCCUGCCCCAUGGCUCGGCUCUGUCCGCUCCUGACUGCAGACAUGAUUGAGGUC